rnacentral:rRNA from 1 species
AUACGGAGGACGCGAGCGUUAUCCGGAUUCAUUGGGUUUAAAGGGUGCGCAGGCGGCCGUGCAAGUCAGCGGUGAAAGCCCGGGGCUCAACCCCGGAAGUGCCGUUGAUACUGCGUGGCUGGAAUGCGGUCGAGGCGGGCGGGACGGGGGGUGUUGCGGUGAAAUGCGGAGAUAAGCCCCCAAACGCCGAUAGCGGAGGCGGCACGCCAUGCCUGCAUUGACGCUCGGGCACGAAAGCGUGGGGAUCGAACAGGAUUAGAUCCCCUGGUAGUCCACGCCGUAAACGAUGGGCGCUCGUCGUCGGCGGCAGACAGUCGGCGGCCAAGCGAAAGCGAUAAGCGCCCCACCUGGGGAGUAUGGUCGCAAGGCUGAAACUCAAAUGAAUUGACGGGG